AAUAGACCAGAGGAGCCAUUCUGUCACCAACACAGCAUCACUGCAGCUGAGCUUACAGUUGGUCUGCUGGAGAAGCUGUAGGUUCUGGGGUCCUUGAGGACGCUGCAUCUACCUGCAGCAGGCAAAUACAAUCCCUUCCCUUAAUCCCUGAAGCUCAGCAACGAAGUUUUGUUUCAAGCACCUGGAAGGCAAGAACAGAGCUUCUGAAAGGUCCCAAAUUACACAGAGUUUCAGCAGGGACUGCUGUCUCUUCCGUGAAGGCAGCACUGGGGACAAAUAAAAGCAACUGCAGAAAGCAUAAGAUUGGACAUGCAGGCAGAUGGGAUACCAGAUGGCAAUCUUUUUUAAAGUUGUCAUGGGUAAACGGGGAGAAAGGAAAAGAACUGAAGCUCAGCUAGAUGCGACUUCUACCCGCUGCGUAUGAAGCUUAAAAAGUAUGAUUUACUGCUCUCGUCGUAUGAGCCUGCA